CCAACCGGAAAUCUCGCCCCCCUCCCCCUUUCUCUGUCUGCCAAUUUUUGCGCCGCCAAAAACACCGCUCGCCGUCCUCACGACGCCCGCCCUCUCCCACCACCGCGCCUCCCUCCCCGUCCACACCGACGGGCGACGGCUACUCCCCUUUUCUCCCCUCUUUUUUUGCCGCCUCCCCACUCCCGGUUCGCCUCCAUAUUCUGGCUGCGCGGCCGCCCCUCUGUUCCCCAUCCUCCGCCUCAGCCGCCAACCCUCCGCUCCCCAUCCUCGGCGGUCCGAGCAGCUCACCAAGGGCCGUGGGCUCCCGUGAUGCUCCCGAUGCGGAGCCCCUGCUCCCCGCCGCCGCCGCCGCCGCGGAUGCGCAUGCCGCUACUUUGGAGCCGUGGAGAAGCGUGAGCCAUCACCAAUCGCCUCGGAGGAAGCAUGUGCUCUAUGGACUGCCUCUCCUUCGCUCAAGUGCUCAAGUGCAUCUGCCCAUCGAGGCCGCCUGGCCUCUGCGGAGGACCUCGUCAUCGUCGGCCGCCGCCGCGGAAGAUGCCUCCUGCACGCAGGCCCCCGCUGGGAUCGAGCGGCGACGGCCACAGCUGCAAGUAAGCACGUAAGCCUCUUUCACUUUGUUCAACUAAUUAGCUUCUGUGCACGCGGCCACGAUCCAGUUCCAUGGAGCGCGGCGCCAUCCAUCAGGCUGGCAUCGCGGACACUACUCAGUGAUGCUGCGUCUCCGCCACAAGAAGCUGAUCAAGGUGUAGCUCUUCUUAUACCUUACUGAUCUUUGAAUUAAAUCCACCUGUCUUGAUUCGUUUUUGUUUUGGGUUUGUACUGUGCGCCGCCUAGCGUCUCCGUCAAAGGCAAAGAAUGAUGUUAGUGCAAGUCGUACUCCGUACUCUUAGUGCGCAGCAACAAUGACGUGUGUCUGACAUAUAAUCGAUCAGAAGUUAAGGCAAUACCAGGGGAAACACCUCUCUCCUCAAUGCAUGCCUCCAUUCGAUGUUUCAAUUAACUGUUAUUUGAUCAAAUUGGAAGAAUUGGAUUAGAGUAGGCAUAUAGGAGGUUGAUCAGCUAUCAAGGAAUGCCUUAUCUGAUCCAUCAUUCAAGGAACCAAGUAACACGGUGGCAAUAAGUUGGAUAAAGAAGCAAAACCAACUGACCAGUUGGAAAUUGCGUGCUAUCGUCGCCAAUGCAUCAGGGUGAAAAUUAAACUGCUGGUUUGCAUUGUCUUAAGACGGCGUAGUACACAAGAUGUGGAAUUGUCACAAUUAAACUGCUGGUUUGCAUUGUCUUAAGAUGGCGUAGUACACAAGAUGUAGAAUUGUCGGUGUUGUGACAGUAGUUGUAGCCAAGCUUUGCAGCAGCCAAGACCUACAGUUCUGUGCAGAGCUACGCUUGGUUGGACUAACCUGCAAUCUGGUUUCACAAACUUACUCUUAUUUGCUUAAAUCAUGUAAUUGUGCUGCCAUGCGUUUAGAAAGUUUGAUGCGAAGUUCUAGAGC